rnacentral:rRNA from 1 species
AGAGAUGUGUGAUGACGCAUAUAAUAAGCGGAGGAAAAGAAACUAACAAGGAUUCCCUUAGUAACGGCGAGUGAAGCGGGAAGAGCUCAAAUUUGAAAUCUUCAAGGUUCUACCUUGACGAAUUGUAGUUUAUAAGAAGUGUUUUCUGUUAGUGGAGUUGGCUAAAAGUUCUUUGGAAUAGGACAUCAUAGAGGGUGAGAAUCCCGUAUUUGGUCAUUCCUCCUAGCGUUGUGAUACACUUUCAACGAGUCGGAUUGUUAGGGAAUGCAGUCCAAAAUGGGUGGUAAAUUUCAUCUAAAGCUAAAUAUUGGCGAGAGACCGAUAGCGAACAAGUACCGUGAGGGAAAGAUGAAAAGAACUUUGAAAAGAGAGUUAAACAGUACGUGAAAUUGUCAAAAGGGAAGCGUUUGACACCAGUGUUGUUUCUCCGAAAAUCAAUUACGAAUGUUUUAUUUUUGAGGAGUUAUGACUUCAUCGGCUUGCUUCUCUCUUUAUGAAACUUUCUUAACUGCACUUUUCGGUUAACAAGUCAACAUCAAUUUCUUUUGUUGUAAAAGGGUAUGAGGAAGGUGGCUUUCUUUUCGGAGAAAGUGUUUAUAGCCUUGUGCCUCUGCAAUCGGAGAGAUUGAGGUCUGCAGCGUAGAUCCUUCGGGGUUAGAUACAGUUUGUGCUAAGUUAUAGCUUUUCAUAGACUGACUUGUUGACUAUGUUAGUCUUGUAGCUUACUCGCUUAUGCUAUUUUACCUACGCUUAGGAUGUUGAACUCUAUCACACACAG